UUGGCUGGCCUGCUGCCAGCGGCCCAGACGGGAACAGCGUCAGCUUCACGCAAGGGUCCCUCCCUGUGCACCCUGCUACGCCGCCUGCUGCCUGUAUUCGUGGCAGCCGAGUCGUCCGUCGUCUUCGUCGGUCCUCCUCGGCUCCCUCGCCUGCUUCUUCCUUCGUCGGUUCCUGUUACUAUUCGGGUUGCGCCGUAGCCUGCCGGCCUCUGGGCUAUCAGCCCGUCUGCUCAUGCUGUUUCCAGGUGACUGAAACGCUAAGGUUCCUACUACAAAUAACAAGGUUUUAUGGCCACAAGUCCAAGGCAGAAAAUACAUCUCCUGCUCUAAUUCAAAUGUUUCAGUGACUGUGCCAUUUCUUCUAAUAACUGAACUCUGAAGGAUGGUGCAUACUGGAACGGAGGGAGUAGUAACCAAAUUAUUUGGAGGAACGGAGGGAGUAGUAACCAACAAAUUGUAGGAACGGAGGGAGUAGUAACCAUGCUUCUAUUAGGUUAUGCAAGCACGUUAAAUCAGGGACCUACAUCUGAUGUGUUCUGUCUAAGCAUUGUUAGACAGCAAUAUAAUAGGCAAUGCCAAGCAAAACAAGUAUCAAGUACUACCACAAUACUGUUUUAUGUUCUGUAUUAUAUUUUGUGUUUGUGUAAUGCUAAAUCAUUUGUUCUUUGCAAAUCUACUCUUUACUCAAUCGAAAUAUCUUGAUUAGCACCUGUUCACAUUAUUGAUGGAUGUGCCUGGACCAUAAAAUGCUAUACUCAAAUACAACCAUCGAGGUAGACAGGCGCGGCGUUAGCGCGCCAUCCGUCCUAGUUUAUCAUGUCCGCCUAAGAAUAGGUCGAUUUUAAAAGCUUUCAAGCAAAAUUAUCACAUUGCAAAUACUCGACCUAACACAUUUUCUCCGCCACAUUACACAUUUCAGUUAAGCAAAAUUAACAGAGUAAACUGGUGGAGAAAACAUGCUUUUACGCAUAGAUGAUAGAUCUAACACAUCACAUCGUAAGUUCGUAACAACAUCGCACACUGCGAGUUCAAAACUUCAAAUCGGUAAAGGUUUGC